rnacentral:lncRNA from 1 species
AGUUUAUUUGAAUAUCAGAGGGAAAACAUUGCAAUCCGCCGCUUUCGAAACUGAAGUGGUUAAACGAGGCGAAGUAAGGCAUCCAAGCAGUAAGUCUUGAUUAGAAUUUAGUUAAGCCAAACAUUUCUAAGUAGAGUUGGAGAAGUCUCGCGCCAGGCAGGCUGUGGUUUGCGCCGCGCUUCUGACAGCUGCCAUGGCAACGAGAUCAAAGCCUCUUCACUGCUUCUGAGAGAGGGGGCAUGGAGGCAACUAGUUAAAAACGGAAUACAAUACUCUAUCAACUAUAACGCAUAAUGCGAUUCUAACACAUAAUGAUAACUUUAGCCGGUCAUUUUCACCGUUUUCUUAUCUUCUCCGAUAAGCCACGAGAAAAGCGUCUGUUACUAACAAGCUCUUGUUUGGCAUCCCGCUGUGCAACACAACACAACAGGACGCCACGCUUGCGUAGUUCAGCUCAUUCAAUGUAUGAAUGCAGGUCGGCCGUUUGUUAACAAAGCAAUUUGGAAAGUCUUCUGACGCAGCAUGUUUUGAAAUAAUAGCUGUCACGAUGGAAGUGAGCUAUUCCUUUGCUUGUACGAUCUGCCACAUAUUGUUUGAAUUCUAUAGCCAAAAGACCAUGUGGGCAGGUAGGUAUGUAAACGCAGACUGUGGAAGUGCAAUGUGAAAUUGAUUUAUCAAUGGAUGCAUCAUUUGUCCUUGUCUCGUACUUUCCUGGUGGUCCCACCAUGGUUAAAAGUUUCUAAAAGGGUUCUGUGUUCCCCUACAGGCUUCCCUCUAUGAUGGGUUGUGAACAGCUACAGACUGCUGAUAGCAAUUUGUUAAUAAAACUGUCAACAAAGAGGUUUUCAAAAAAUACACAAAGAAUGGACUCCAGUGAAAACGUAAUAGCUAAGAUGGAAAGACCAUUUUAACAAUCUUUAAUUUGGAACAUGUCUCGUUUUACCAGACUACGCCCCUAACUAAAACCAAAUGUUUUUCAACUGCUGGAUUUCUUUGCAUGCUUCUCACAAAAAGACCUGAUGGUUUCCACCCUGUAUGGUCUUCAGAAAAGAGACCAUUGAACAAUCAAAUGCAGUGGAAAUCCGAUGUGUCGCACGUCCGCCACUCACAUUGUUGUUGGACAGAAACUCGAGUGAUUCACUUUUCCGAUCGGCCUCGGGAGGCGUUACUCGCAGCACUAUAUGAGCAAGUGCAGUCUGAGCGCAGAGGGACAAUCACGCCAUCCUCUCGAACGGAUAAACCACAAGACUUUGACACUUUCUCCAGGCAUCGGAGUUACCAAAGUCUACAUUGAACAGUCCAGGAGCACCAAAACAUACCGCAAGGAUUGUAAGUUUAUAUUUACGUCUUGUUUGUGUGUGCACGUGUUUGUCAUUUAGAGAGAUUUUGGUUUUUAAAUACAGCCUUUUCAUACGCGUGUUGGACCAUAUGAUAUCCAAACACUUAAAACUAAUGAUAUAAGGUGUUAUACGUUAUACGUUUUAAUAGAAGCUUUAGACUUAAGUAACUUGCAUUAAUUUUACACUCUGAAAGUUAAGGUAGCCUACUUAAAAAGCACUCUUUAACGCGAGCCCGAAACUCUCAGUUGGAGGUGUGGAUUAGUGUCGCAUCCCGCGGUUUUGUCCCUUUAAUACCCAGGUCCACUUGUAUUUCAUUUAACAUAAAAUAAAUGCUAUUGCACAUUAGAUAAUAGGUUACAUCAUUUCAAAUCCCUAUUUUUAAGCACUGUUGUGUCUUGUAUAAAGGGGCCAGGAAGAGGAACUCUUUCUUUCGAGACUCUUUCGGUCUGUUUUCUCUGUUCCUGUGAAUCCAUUCAUGUGAAAAGUGAGGUUGCGUGUUGGUUGAGGUAUAGAGAAACCGCGUUUUUUUUCAUUUUGAAAAUUGCAUGUGAAUUUUUCGGGAAUUUGGGACCAAAGGUGGUUUCAGUUAUAUACAUUCACUUCUGUAAUUGGAACUCUUCUCCAGUCUUUAUUCAACUAGUUAAUAUUAUUAGUUAUUUUGCAUUAGUUUCUAUUUAUAAACAAAAAUAUAUUUAUUAAAAAAAUAUGUAUUUCAGGUUUUACUAGUUACAUUAUAGUAACGUUCUGUGGGAUUAAUUAAUUAACAUUUAUUUGGUAUAUUUUAUCCCACUCUCAGUUUACUUUCAUGGGAUUUGUUUUGCUCAUUGUACUGUUCAUUGCAUUGUUGUUACAUUAUUUUCCUCACAAUCACACUUACAGUGAAGAUUUCAUGCUAUAAUAACCAUGACUGAUGAUACACUUCAUGAUUGCAAAACACUUGGAGUGAACAAUACUGAGUUUCAACUUAGAGACUUCAAGUGAGAGAGACAGGGAGAGAGGGGGAAGGAGGGACUGGACGGAGAGUCGCUGUGUCCGUAUGGCUAACUCUUUGUGCGGGCAAGUGUGCUUGUUGCCUGGGGCCGUGAGAUCAGGUGAGGGGGCAGUUGUGUUUCAGCAGUGUUAAUGCAACAGUUUUACAACAAGGCUGUGGGACAUGAUGGUGGUGCUUGAGGCCGUAUGUAAUGUAAUUUUAUGACACCUGAUUUUUUUUAAUUGCACCUGGUAAGUCAGGUUAGAGGUUUACGCUGCCCUCUCGUGCCUAUGAUGUCAGAGUGGAAAGCUGUAAAAUAAGUCCAACUCUGUCUUUGUUUUAGAAGAUCUUCCUGUAGGAUCACAGGAUGCAUUAAGAGCAGCUGUGUCACUUCUCAUAUUUCCUUUAAUGAUAUUAAGGUCAGGCGCUAACUGUGUUCCAGGGUCAAAACAACGGGUUGAUUUGGAAUGAAAAUAAACAAGCCUAAACAAAUUCUAUCACUUGAUGGUUCUUUAGCAAAACACAAGUUUACAGUUUUGGAAACUGAUAUUUUUUUUUAAUGAAACUUAUUUCUUCAUGUUUACUUCAAAAAAUGAAAGAUUGAGAAAGAGCGUAACUGGGUUUAUCAUUUCUGCUUCACUGCACAAUUUUUUAAACGCAUACCUAAAUGUUGCAAUGUUUAUAUUAUUCCGAAAGCCCUGAAGGUUGAAGAUCAAAAAUGUGUGAUUAGAGACGUGCACAUGUGUGUUUGGGAACGUGCAAAUUAAAAGACAUAGAGCCAAUGUGUGUCUGUUCUCUGUUCUUUUUAGCUUUUGUCAGUUCAAAGCCUGGCAUCCCGUCCUCAAGCUGAGCAUAUCAUAUUGAGAAAAGAACCUUUCACCCCAUCCGCUACCCAUCCUCCUCCCUUCUAUCUUGUCUCAUUUCUAAUGGGCAUCAGUCUCUCUAAUGCCUCCAGAGGUGUCACACUCUGUUCUUUAUCAUUGUACUUUGUCGCAUGGCCCAUUGGUUGUGUUGAACUUUUUGUAUAGGGAAAAUGCCUCCCAUUUGCCAUGGAUAUCUACUUAGAUUUUAACGGGUCACUGCAUGGCAGAAAAGUUUUUACUCCGCCAUCUGAGUUUUGCUUCUGGGCAUCUAGUCCUUAUGUUCAGCUGAGUAGUACAGCACAGCCUUUAAGCAAUGAAACACUAUUGCUUUUUCAUUAAUUUAGUUGGAUAAUAUCACUCACAAUGAAGUAAGACUAAAACAAAUGUUGAACAAUUUGUUAAAACUUUGUCAUAUGGUGCAACCAACAUGCAGAAGAAAACAUGUGCAGUCAUUCAUGACUGUAUUUCAAAAUGUAACAUCUAAAUAACCUCCUAAAAAUUGGACCCUUUUAAGACAAGGGUGAUUCAUGUUGUAAAAUGUUGUAUGGUGUGACAAUAUUUCUUAAUAAAAUUUCCUAUUUGUGGACAAAACUUUUUAAAUAUAUAUUUUAAAAUAAUAAUUAGGAUGUAUUCAAUAUUCAAGCAGAGAAAAAAUAUGCAAUCGCUUUUUACUUGAUGGUUACACCACAUGACGUGAUUUUGAAGUCUUCAAGAUACAACAAGUGAAUACAAUAAAUGUGAAAACUAAGAUUUUUCCCUCUUUAUUCUUGAAACUUUUUUUGUUUUUGUUAUUGACCCUUCUCUCUUUGAUUUUGUGAAAUUGAUAGCCUGAAUUUAUUCAUAUAUUUAGUGCAACCCAGUAACCCUGGAAAAUAAAACCAUGCAGUGACCUCUUCAAGAAAAAUCCUCUUAUGCAGUACAAGGUCCUGCCCUUUGACUAGGGACCCUGGUGUUCGAGAUGUUUCAGAUUAUGUAUGUUUUAUAAAUAAACUUUCUUUGUUAUACAUUUUUCUGUCCCUCUGAGUUUAAUUAGACCCUAUUAUUGUUAUGUUUUGUCUGCCUAUGUGUCAUAACAGUGCCUGUUUUUUGUUUCAGGUCACUGCUGUUGUGUCCCAAAAGUGUCGAUAAGGAAGACGUGCCA